GGCACAGCCAAAGUGGCUGCUGUUUAAGAAAAUAAACAGCAGCCAUUUUGGCUGUGCCAAAAUAGGUA
rnacentral:pre_miRNA from 1 species